rnacentral:pre_miRNA from 1 species
CGUGUCCUCCUUCGGACGAGUGCUUGCCGGGGAGUAACCGUCAUGCACUACUCCGGGGGUAGGACGCG